AAAUUUUGACAUUAUUUCAAAAUUUUGAUAUAAAUUUUUGGGGCAAUUGCCUAUAUACCCCUGAAAAGUUUUCAAUUUUCUUAUUUACCCCUCUUAGAAAGCUAUUAAGUUCCAUCAGUUACCUGUCGUUAUCUCUGAAAAAUUACCAUUUUGCCCAUUCCAAUAUACCCUUGUACGGUAACUAACUUAUUUUAUAUACCCUUCAUAUAGCAAAUAUUUUUCUUAUUUGUCCUUCAAAUAUCAAUUAAUUAAUUAAGCAUGUCGGGAGCGAGCAGAUGAACGGAUGAGAUCGAUCACAGCUAAACCAACCUUAGUGGCUAGAGGCAUAGUUAGUUAAUUCGGAUUCGGCAAAAAUUCGGUACAUAUAUAAUUCGAAUAAAAUUCGUCUUUUAAUUUUUAAAUUUGAUGAAAAAUACAGCUAAAAAAGGGAUUCGACAAUUAUUCAGAUACGUGAUUUAUACGGGUAUUAUACGUUCACCAAUUAAAAAUUUGGGAUUAAAAAUUCGGCUAUAUAAUAAAUAUAUAAUAAUUAAUAUACUAUAUAUAUUAUUAUUAUAAAUUUUAUAUAUAGAUUAAAUAUAUUUAAAAUUAUAAUAAA
rnacentral:lncRNA from 1 species